rnacentral:lncRNA from 1 species
UUCCCCUCCUCGCCCCUUUAGCAAGCCUUUGCCAAGAUGGAGAGAAAUUCCAAAGAUGGCAAGUUAUCUAGCUCCAAGGAUCAUAGUGAUAAGAAAUCUGGAUUCAGGGACCGGUCGCCAGAAAGCUUGAGCAGGAAUUCCACUCAAACCAAAAUGACUGAAACCCUCUCUGGGGAAAAAGAGCCGGUUUACAGGAUGCAGCUGCCUUGAAGGAAGAAAAUGUAAAUUCCAGAAAAGGGAAGACAUUGCUUUCAAGCCAGGUAAAUACUUUCAGAUGAAUUUUAGCGACGAGACAAAAUGAGUUUUAUGCCUCCUAAUUUGUCUCUCUGUCUCCAUUGACAGUUUGCUUUCUCAUGAUGAAGAAAUGUGGCAAGGCUCAUAACUAUGAUAGGGAAAGUUGGGAAAAUGUUUAAAAUGUGCUUUAGAAUCUGAAAACCAGACAGAAGCACUGAUCAUAACCCCCUAAUCACGAAAACAUAAAGCAAAAUAACGCGAAAUUGACGAAAGAAAAGGCUGCAACAGGGGCAUAAACAUACCUCAAAUAAUUUUUAACAAUGUAGCUGUCAAACGUAGCCAAACGCAAUAAGUGCUACAAAAAUAAUUUGAUUUCAGUAAAAAUAACAUCGAAAAUUGGGAAAAAUAACAGCGAAAUUAGGAAAAAAUAAUAACGAAAUUUUCCAAUCUCAACCGAGGCUGCUAAGGAAAAUCUGCUAACGGAAUGGAGGUACUCACCAAGAAUUACUCUGAUUGAACAGAAAAUAUUUAUUCAGUUGUGUGUGAAAUGUUAACAAUGUCAGUCGCAAACUGGCAACGGACGGGUGAUUAUCAGGCUUAAUAAUCAUUAAUCUUUUCAUCGAAAAAUUAGGAUACUGUAACUCACAGAAAAUCUCAGAAAACAAGUUUCUCCACUUCGCAAAUAAGCAGAAACUUGAUUUUGAAAGUGCUUGAUGUCCGUAACUGACUGUAAGUAGUUCCCAGGUAUCUCAGCCAAAAAAGAGCCUUUGUUGCCAAAAACGAAUACACUGACUUGUUUAGUCCCGUCAGUAAUAAAUUCAUGAGGAAACAGUUUUAGUUGCACUCUAGUGUGACCACUUUUUUGCUUUCCUAGCUUUGAUCAUAUGGGCUGCAUUUUGCAAUUUGGAGCGAUAAAUCUAGCUCAUCUGAAAAAACACGUAUGUUGCAUAGGGAAAACUAAUGGCACAUACGUUGUUUUUAAACCGGGCCAGAAAUUUUAUAGUUCCUAAUUGCAAAUGU